AAGUAGAUUAAAUUCAGAUAAAAAUUGCGCAACCAAAUAAAAGAAGAAAAUCAAACUCAGAUGACACAGAUGAUUUAUCCUGGUUCGGCCCUUCUGUCUACUCCAGUCCGGUCCUUCUUCUCCUCGAGGUACCAAUUUCACUAUUACUUGGCCUUUUGAACAGGGCAAGACCAAAGCUGCUUACAAUCACACAAAACUUCUUUUACAACCUCUCAAUGAAGCUCACAAUUACAAAUUAAUGAACAAUUAGGACUUAGAGAAUUUUUCUGAAGUUGCAUCCCAAACAACAUCCAAGCCUCCCUUUAAAUACACUAGCCAUCAUUUCAAAAAUGGAACAAAAGCAUAAUAAAAUCAUAAUUGACUUCAAUUUGAAUCUUCACCAUAUUUGCAAAUGCAUUUGAAUUAAUUCCAAAAUAAAUUUGAAUUCAUACCAUAUUUGCAAAACUAAUUUGAAAUUAUACCAAAUUUGUAAAAUCCUUUUAAAUUAAUACUACAAAUGAAAACUUUUUGAACUCAUUCCACAUUUGUAAAAGCUUUCGAAUAAUACCAUACUUAUAAAAAUUAUUUAUAUCAUAUUUCAUAUUUUUUAAAUUCAUACCAUAAUAAAAUCAAUUUCAAAUUUAUACCAUACAUAAAAUCAUUUUCACACCAUAUUAAAAUAAUGGCUAAUUUGAUGUUAAACUCAAAUUAAACCCAAAAGGUUAACCGGCCAACUUGACUAGGUUGACUGGCUCAAAUCUGAUAAAUUGUAAAGAAGUCCUCCAAAAUAUUGUUGUGGCUCUUGCAUCCAAUUUGGUAUAAUUUGAUCUUGUCCGGGCCAAUCUGAACAAUUUAAUUUAAUUGUUACCUUUGAUCAUGAUUCCGGCUCGGUUUGAGCCACUUUAAAUUCAAUUAUAAUAUGAAAUUGCUAAGUAACAAAUUAAAUCCAAAAUUUGUUUGUUAUCAUCAAAAUUUAUUAUUGGAUAAAAUCCAACAAUCUCUCCUUUUUUGAUGAAGACAAACAAUUUGAAAAGGUAAUAAAGAAAUAAAUAAACUCCCCCCUCAAAAUAAGCACGAUAAAAAAAAAUCUUUCAAUUGAGAUAAACAAAACUUUUAAAAUAAUUUUGAGAUAACCUUUUCUUCUCCCC
rnacentral:lncRNA from 1 species